rnacentral:rRNA from 1 species
AUUGAACGCUGGCGGCAUGCUUUACACAUGCAAGUCGAACGGCAGCGCGGGCUUCGGCCUGGCGGCGAGUGGCGAACGGGUGAGUAAUGCAUCGGAACGUGCCCAGUAGUGGGGGAUAGCCCGGCGAAAGCCGGAUUAAUACCGCAUACGACCUGAGGGUGAAAGCGGGGGACCGAAAGGCCUCGCGCUAUUGGAGCGGCCAAUGUCGGAUUAGCUAGUUGGUGGGGUAAAGGCUUACCAAGGCGACGAUCCGUAGCUGGUCUGAGAGGACGACCAGCCACACUGGGACUGAGACACGGCCCAGACUCCUACGGGAGGCAGCAGUGGGGAAUUUUGGACAAUGGGGGCAACCCUAAUCCAGCCAUGCCGCGUGCGGGAAGAAGGCCUUCGGGUUGUAAACCGCUUUUGUUCGGGAAGAAAUCCUCUGGGCUAAUACCCCGGGGGGAUGACGGUACCGGAAGAAUAAGCACCGGCUAACUACGUG